AAGGAAUAAAUUUAAUAACCAAAAUAAUAAAAAAAAAAAAAAUUGAAAGAAAAAAAAAUUAAGAAGCAAAUAUGAGAAAGUAUAAUAAUCAUCCUAAUAUUUAGGACUUUCAAAUUAAUUAAAAUGAGGUAUCUAAGAAAUUAUAAAAUUUAAUAUUUUUAAAUUAAUUAAAAUUUUACUUUAUAUAAAAAAAGAAUAUCUAUAAAUUAUUAUGUUUCUACGUUUUCUUCUUAUUUUGAUAUGUCUAUAAAAUGUUGUGCUUCUACAUUUUCUUCUUACUUUGAUAUUUGAUAUGUUGAUUGAUGGUUUAUUAAAGUUUUCUUCUUGCAUCCCUUAUUAUCAUUCUUUUUUUCUUCUUCAUCCUUUUAGUUAAUAAAAUUUAAAUAUUAUAUAUUUAUUAUACAUAAUUGACAAGGGAUUUUCCCUUUUAAUAAUUUCUCAUGUUUCUCUUUCAGUUGAAAAAUCAUAUUAAACAAGUAUGUUGCUGCCGAAUGAAGUAGCAGGAAAAAUCGAAGGUUUCUCUCUUUUCCUUUUCAUCUACUUUUUACAGGAGUUGUAUUUCUCUUUCCAUAUAUUUGAUAGUUUAUAAAUAUAAUGUGUAGUGCUAAAUUUUUCAAAACAACAUCAUAGAGCACUAUUAUUAUAGUGAUUUCAAUUGAUUCAGUUAUUAUUUUUCUCCUUUUCGACAGGUUUUUUAUGCACUGUUUGUUGGUUGUAUCAUAUAAUUCUCGUUGAAAUAUUUUGUUGAUAGACUUUAGUGUUUCUUUGUUAAAAUUCUUUCCUUAGCAUAUUAGUUUUUCUUAUAAUAGUAAAGAUAUUAAUUUGUUGCCCUCUAACACUUCUAACAACAUAUGAAUUGCCCCAUAUGUCAUAUCGAGAAAUUUUUUUAAGCAUUUUUUGUCGUCCUAUAGCCAUUGUAAUUUUUCUAAAUUUAGUUUAAAGUGCUUUUAAAUGCUUUUAUAUGAUUUUGUAUGCAUAUAUUAAUUUUCUAUUUAAGUAUUUUUCAUAUUUAAUAAAAUCAUCAAUUUAUUUUUAAUCAAGACAUAUUUUCUUUUAUAAUAUUAUAAAAUUGAAUUCAUUGGAGCGAGGUACACGCGCAGAGCGCAUACUCUAAACUAGUUAUUAUAUUAUUAUAUUAUAAAUAUAGAUAUAUGUAUAGAUUAUAGAUAUAGAUUUUAAAAGUAUUCUUUUCCAUUUUUUUCUUUUUUUAAUUUUAUAUGUCAAAUCAAAUGAUGUAACACAAAUUGAAAGGAACAAAGUACAUAAUAAAUUGGACCCCAUAGCCAAGCGUCUGUGAUUUCUGAGCAAGCAGCAUAAAUUCUCGUAUGGACCAAGUACGAGUAUAGGCAUUCUCGUAUGGACCAAGUACGAGUAUAGGCUUAUUCAAUCUUGAUAAAAAAAAAACUGAGAGAAACAAUAAACCAAAAAUAAAUGAAAAAGAAAAAUGAAAAUCAAAGAAUGACUAUUAUGAACUAGUGGUGAAUUUAGAAUAUAAAAUUAUUUAAGCUUUGUCUUCAACGAAUUCAUUGCGACUCAAUACUUUCAAAAAAAAAAAAAAAAAUAGAAAAUUGUGUCUAUAAAAAUUGCCUUUUUGAAAAUGUUUCGAAUGGAUUUUUCGCCAAAACCCCUUAAUAAUGGGUCAAUUUCCAAUGAGACAUCUGUCAGAAAUUCCCAUCAUUUUAGUACUAGUUUCUAACUUUAUCUUCUCAUUGUCUUCUCAUUGAUCAUCGUGGAGUACUCUCCAAUCUCCAUAGCUAACAACAAAUGCAUGGGCUGUUAAGUGGGCCCAUCAAGUUUAUCCGGUUUAUGGACCGAUCCGGAUCCAUGCUUGUUAAACGGGUCAGUUCAAUUUCGAGCCCAACAGUAAUUUUUUAAAAAUUAAUCCUGAACCAGCCCACUCCGAUCUAACCCACCUAGACCUGAUCAAAAUCGGUCCAAAAAUCCGAUUAAAAAAAAAAAAAAAAAAAUUUCUCCAAUAUACAGUAUAUAUACCCACCUAUAAACAUUUUAAAUUCGUUAAAACAAUAUAUAUACCCUAUAUAUAUAGUAUAUAGUACAUUAAAAUUUAAAAUACAUAUACACAUAUACACAAUUAUACAUGUUACAAGAUAUAUACUACAAUAUAAUGAUAUAUAUACUAAUUUAUAAAACAUAUACACAUGUAUUAUACGUUAAAUAUAUACUACUUUAGAAUCUGUAGAAUAUAUAUACAUAUAUAUACGUACCAUUCAAUAUAUAUGUACUACUUUAAAUAAAACAUAUACUACAAUAUAUACACACACUAAAUAUAUAGUUGCUUUUGCAAAAAUUUUGACUUUUGAAAGAGAAUCGCCACUUAAUUUUGAAAAAGAAUUAAGAAACCUUUAGGGAGCUACUUAAAACGAUUCAAAACAGGAAAAUCGUUUUAAGUUGAGAGAUUCUGAGUAAGCGAUUUCUAUUAACGUUUUAGGAAGGUGUUAAGCACCUAAAACGUCCGCUAACUUGCGAUUAUCCAGACUGUUUGAAAAUCAUCUUCGAAAAGAUUAAUUUUGUCGAAAAGUGAUUGAUUUUUUGAAAAGAAAGCGAUUUUGAAAAUAUUUUGGUGUUUAUGCAAAAACUAGUUUUUUAGCGACUUAACUAAAGAUUUAACUAGGUUCGCAAAGCAUAUAAGGAAAACAAACAUAAAGGACAGGGGGAAGGGGAGGAAGUAAGGGAUUUAGGCCAUCGGCCCAAACCAACAAAACAUGUCCUAGUCUAAUUGGGCUUUCGAUCCAUUUCACCCGUCCCAGUCUAGUGUUUCGAGUCGUUAGCUCGAGUCUCGCUCCACCUGUAUUAAAUACAACCUUGGCUUCGUAGCCCAAAUGAAUGAAUAAAAAUAAAUAACUAAAUAAACAAAGACAACAAUAAUGAAUGACUAAAUAAAUAAAUGAAAUGGAAAUUGAGACUUUCAAGUCUCUUAGCUGCUUCAAAUGGGAUUUUAACCCAUUUUCCUUCUUCAUUCGACUCUUCGCAUCGGUAUACCAUGUGACUGUCUUUUUAGUCCUUUCCAAGGUCUUCUAAAAGGGAAUGGGCCUCAAUGGCCCAUUUGUGAAAUGCAGAAGGGAAAAAGCCAAAAGACUUCGGAGCAGGUGCAUGCAAAGAAAAAUGAGAAAAAUAGCAUAUGCACAGGAUUUUAAUAAACUAUUAAUUCGUACUCUAUUUAAAUAACAAACAUGCAUAACCCAUUGCACCAAUACCAAACACGUCUUAAUCUACUACACCAAGCUGGACACGCAAAAAGAACAUAAACCAUUGAACCCGAUAUAAGGUUGUGCCCAUCAAACUUGAUAAUUAAUCAUAAAUAGAUUACUAUAAUUUGUAAAGACAAAAGGAAUAUAUACAAACACUUGCGAACAACAAUUCAUAACGUUUAUACAUAUAUAUAUGUAUCCAUCUAUAAUGAAUCGAAGACACUCAGUCGCAGGAGGUGACAACAAUGAUUUGAGAAAUAUUCGUUCAACACAGACCAAAUAACUAGCAAUGUGAUCCAAUCUUAUAUAUACAAAGAAUGAAAACAUUAAGAAGUUAGGCUAAAUUCGAUGGCUUUAUUAUGACUUCAAAAUUCUACUAAUUCUUCGUCGGUCGAACUAAAACUCGAAGGACGGGAUCAUUUAAGCAAUCAAAUCACUAAACUUUUUUAAGCAAUCAAAUCACUAAACUUAAACAAAAGUCUAUCUUUUGACACUCAUUUGGGCUAAAGCACAUCAUUUGUGAGCUAACCCCACCACUCCCAUUGAUAAUAUGAAUCAAGGGACAUGAGGGAGAUUUUUACCUUACUUGGAAAGAACGAAGCGAAAGUAUAGACAAACGGGCAUCCAACAAAGGAACAAGCAAGAACUUCUCGUUAACAACUUACAGAUUCACAAGAAAAUUGCACUAAAGUUUAAGUCUUUUACAAAGAAACAAUCCUUUCAAUGCCUCAAAACAUUAUAAAGAAUUAAAAUCAUUUCUCAAAAAAAGAAAGGAAGCUUGCUAAGAUAAACUAACAAAAUCCAAAAUUUGCAUAUCGGCAUAACUAAAUUACUAUCCUAGCUACUGUUAGGCUCAAUCACAGAAACCUAAAGAAAGUUAUGAAGUCACUUUAGACGUUUCGAGCAUAAUGAACACACAGAUGUAAAGGACGCAUCAAAACAGGUUUAAACUAGCACAUGCUAGCAUUAACUAUGAGAAAGACACCAGAUUUUUUUUUUGUUUACUAAGCAGGAAGAUGGAAGAUACACCAAACGUGAAUAUCAAAAUCGUUCAAAAUUCAAUCAAGGCCCAGCCAACCUACAAACUAGCUAAACAUAUAUUCUUGAAUCUAAUCAUUCCGGAAACAACGACCAUAUUAGAUGAACACCUAUAAUAACAGUAUACACACCAGAUUUAAGCACACAAGGUACUGAUCCUUAAGGCAGCCUCCGGUGAACGUUGAAUCGAUAAACAACUCAAAGAUCACUUAUCAUAGGCAAAACCUAAGGCCAGUGAGGCGCCUACAGCAAACAAACCCAGCAUACAGGGUGAUCUCAAGAUUACUCACGACUACAGAAUGAUGAGAUGAAGAAGAAGCAAACGAAAGCUUAAAUGGAGUAGGAUAUUACCUUUCCGAGAGCAGCAAAACAAGACAACGAGUUAAUCGCUAGGACCGUCACCACCGGGAACUGAUAUUAUCGACUUGAGAACUUCCGAAUUGAUCGACCAACUUCCAAAAGGAAAAGAAAGGAGAAAACUUUGCUAUGAAGGAAAGCUUUUAGCUCUAGGAUCCUUUGCCUUUUCCACUCAAAAUUUUCUAACCAAAAUUUUUCCAACCUAGCUCUCUCGAAAAAAUUUUCCCAACCCCUAAUUUUUCUGAACCCUAAUUUCUCUGAAAAAAAAGAGACCUCCGAAAACAAUACCCAGCUGGUUCUUAUACAGAAGACCAAAUCGGGGGUAGUUUAGGGAUGGAAAAAUCAAAAUUCAAAAAAAUGGCUAACCCCCUUCUAACUGACUCUCCCUUUUGGAUUUAUCUCCCAAGAAAAAGACGAAAUUGGCGGACCAAUAGAAUUCUUCCAAAACCAAUUCCCCUCAGGAACCAAUCGAAAUCCCCCAAAUGGGUAUGGAAUCGUACCCUUAUCCCGAGAUUUACGGGAUUGAUCCGUUGGGGGAAGACACCUCACCAUUUUUAGAAGCUUCAAGGUCUUCCUCGUCGUACUAUUGCGUGGAACGCGUGAAGAAGGAUAGGGUUGGGUUGAAACUGGGUUGGUUCGAACUGAAUUCGGGUCAGCGUCGAUGGGUUCGAAGUUGGUCGAUGUUGUCAUUUGGUUGUACGUUGAAUAUUUGGUUGUUGUACCUUGGGGAAUUGACUGUUGUUGCUGAUUCAAGAAGAAAGAAACCCUUGGUGGACCGGAUCGCUGUAUCAAAUCUUAAAAUAGGGGGGAGCUGCUGAUCGUUUUAAGAUUAUAUUGGGCCAAUCUUUGGGCUGGAGAUUUUAAAAUAAGAAAUGGGCUGGUGAGUAUUUAGCUAUUGGGCCGAAAUUGAUGUGGUGUUGGGUUAUUUUGGGUAGCUUAGGGAUUUAGAUUAUA
rnacentral:lncRNA from 1 species